rnacentral:tRNA from 1 species
GCCCGGUUAGCUCAGCGGUAGAGCAGCUCCUUUACACGGAGAAGGUCGGCGGUUCGAUCCCGUCACCGGGUACCA